rnacentral:rRNA from 1 species
GAUGAACGCUGGCGGCGUGCCUAAUACAUGCAAGUCGAGCGAACGGACGAGAAGCUUGCUUCUCUGAUGUUAGCGGCGGACGGGUGAGUAACACGUGGAUAACCUACCUAUAAGACUGGGAUAACUUCGGGAAACCGUAGCUAAUACCGGAUAAUAUUUUGAACCGCAUGGUUCAAAAGUGAAAGACGGUCUUGCUGUCACUUAUAGAUGGAUCCGCGCUGCAUUAGCUAGUUGGUAAGGUAACGGCUUACCAAGGCAACGAUGCAUAGCCGACCUGAGAGGGUGAUCGGCCACACUGGAACUGAGACACGGUCCAGACUCCUACGGGAGGCAGCAGUAGGGAAUCUUCCGCAAUGGGCGAAAGCCUGACGGAGCAACGCCGCGUGAGUGAUGAAGGUCCUCGGAUCGUAAAACUCUGUUAUUAGGGAAGAACAUAUGUGUAAGUAACUGUGCACAUCUUGACGGUACCUAAUCAGAAAGCCACGGCUAACUACGUG